GGGCAGCAACACACGUUAAAUCAAAGCCCACAGAACUAAGCCUAAGGAAUGGACGUUAACUUACAAACGCAAGCAGGGGUAUUUUAUAUAUAUAAUAAUUUGUCCCUCUUUUCUCCCUGAUUAAAUGGACUGUUCGUGUGGCCAAGAAAAGGGGAGCUGUGCGGGAUGUGUGAGCGCAGCGGCAGCGUCCGACACACUGCAGAUGUGCCGCAGCGGAGCCGGAGAGCCGAGAGGACGAAGAGAGCACCGGAGCGCCGGCGAUCCGCAGUGACUCCUCUACCUCCCUCCCGGACCCUCUCUCCCUCCCUCCGUCCCUCCCGCACCCAGGAGCUCCCGCACUUCGCCCUGCAAUGAUGAAACGCGGCGCGUGAGAAGGAAGACUUCAGAGAACAGGAACACUGGGAAUCAGAUAGCCGGCUGUCCCAGUCCUGUUGCAUCAUGGGAAAUAUCACCAGUAGGAACGGCCACCAAGCUACAGGGUCGUAUUUGGAUUUAUUCCACACCCCCCCGACAUCCCCGAUUCUUCCAGACCUCCCCAGGAUGCCUCUCUCUCCUUCCUCGGAUCCAGCGCAGAACGACGGGACGACGGCUGGCCUGGCAAGGAGGCCUGGAAUUCCGGAGGACUCUGCAGAAGAAGGGAAAUCCUCUCAAGGCUCAGCUGUCAAGUGGGCUGUGGCUAGUCCAGAAGGCAGUCCACGACCCAGCGAAACAGGAAAUAACAUGGACAGUGGGUGGGCUCUGGGAUUCUCAAGCAGCCGCAGCACGCCGCCCAACCUGGUGUCAUGCAACAUUUACAGCGAUAGGACCUUCAGUAGCCUGGGGUUGCCCCCUGCCCUCAAGUCCCCAUCGGAGCAGAGCUCCCAGGGUUGGGACAGUGGACUGGAGGGUACGGUAAACUUGCCUGGAGAUACGUAUAAUGCUGGGGUGGAAGAGGAGCUCCCACAGUCUGCACUAUCUCUACUGCAGCACUACAGGGGCUCCCUGAGAGGGAAUCUAGGACUGGAGGGGACAGCCAGCGUGACAGACGUGCUGAAGCAGCUACUGCAGGAGAGGGAGGACCUUCUGCAGGAGGUGCAAACUCUGAAGAGCACUUUAGAGAGAGAGCGAGGCGAGUGGCUGCAGUUCCAGUCUGACUUGCAGGUGGCAGUCAUGGUGGCUGACCGCCUGCGCCUUGAGGCAGAAGAAGAACUGGGCACUCUCAGAGACACCCAGAGGGACACAGAUCAGCGGCUGUCCACCGCACAGUGCAGGCAUGAUGAGGUGGCCAAGGAGCUGGAAGCCUUGAGGAACACUCAUGUAGAGACGUGCCAGAAACUGUCUGCCUUGAUGCUGAGCUACCAGCAGGUGGAAGGGGAGCUGGACUCACUAAGGAAGAGGGAGAAGGUUGUGAUGGGAUGGGAAAGAGGAAGUGUAGGGACACAAGGUGGACACAGAGCAGAGGGAGGGUGUGAGAGAGACAGGGUGACAGGGGAGGGCAGGGUCCAGGCUCUGGACAAUGCACACAACGAAGAGAGACCCGAACCUGAAGGCAAGGGUGCUAAGGUUGGACUCCUCCAGAGUGCAAAUGAAGAGAAGAAAGAAGAAGAGUGGCACAGUAAACGGGACCCCCGGAGAAUAGUUAUGAUGUCAGAGAGGUCUUGGAGCCUCUCUAGACUUCCUCUUCCAGGCAGCGCAUCCUGCUCUUCGAAUGGAAACUCUCAGACUGCUGCAGUGGAUGCACUCAACAAGGUGAGACCACUAUCCAUUCCAUAG
rnacentral:lncRNA from 1 species